AUUGUCACAAGAUCCACGCGUGUA
rnacentral:siRNA from 1 species